UGAAUUUCAGGCCUGGCUGGACGGUCCGCCCUUCGGCACAGUACUGUCUGUGGUCCGGUCCUACCUUCUGGCGAAGCGUCAUGGCCUUAACCGGCCGUGGCGGGGAACCAGGACUUUUACUGUGAAAAAAUUAGAGUGUUCAAAGCAGGUAAUCGCUUGGAUACAUUAGCAUGGAAUAAUGGAAUAGGACAAUGGUUCUAUUUGUUGGUUUCUAGGACCGUUGUAAUGAUUAAUAGGGAUAGUUGGGGGCAUUAGUAUUCAAUUGUCAGGGUGAAAUUCUUGGAUUUAUUGAAGACUAACUACUGCGAAAGCAUUUGCCAAGGAUGUUUUCAUUAAUCAAGAACGAAAGUUAGGGGAUCGAAGACGAUUAAGAUACC
rnacentral:rRNA from 1 species